rnacentral:rRNA from 1 species
AUUGAACGCUGGCGGUAUGCUUAACACAUGCAAGUCGAACGAUGCGAAAGAGCUUGCUCUUUCAAUUAGUGGCGGACGGGUGCGUAACGCGUAGGAAUCUGCCUAUUAGUGGGGGAUAACGUGGGGAAACUCACGCUAAUACCGCAUACGCUCUACGGAGGAAAGCAGGGGCUCGUAAGACCUUGCGCUAAUAGAUGAGCCUGCGUAGGAUUAGCUAGUUGGUAGGGUAAAGGCCUACCAAGGCGACGAUCCUUAGCUGGUCUGAGAGGAUGAUCAGCCACACUGGGACUGAGACACGGCCCAGACUCCUACGGGUGGCUG